CAGAUCCAGGAGUCCUCUGUUUAUCCACAACAGGCAGCAGCUGUGCAAUCUUUCCCCACAUUGCCAUGCCACUGUGCCUUAGCUCUGACCUAGAGAGGAACCACUGCAAAGGGAGAAGAGGCUGCUUUAUACUCUACCUUUUCACCUCU
ensembl:misc_RNA